CACGUAGGGGCCAAGCGUUGUCCGGAUUUAUUGGGCGUAAAGAGCUCGUAGGCGGCUCGGUAAGUCGGGUGUGAAACCUCCAGGCUCAACCUGGAGACGCCACCCGAUACUGCUGUGGCUAGAGUCCGGUAGGGGAGCGUGGAAUUCCUGGUGUAGCGGUGAAAUGCGCAGAUAUCAGGAGGAACACCGGUGGCGAAGGCGGGUCUCUGGGCAGUAACUGACGCUGAGGAGCGAAAGCGUGGGGAGCGAACAGG
rnacentral:rRNA from 1 species